GACGUAGGGCGCGAGCGUUGUCCGGAUUUAUUGGGCGUAAAGAGCUCGUAGGCGGUUUGUCGCGUCGUCUGUGAAAACCCACGGCUCAACUGUGGGCUUGCAGUCGAUACGGGCAGGCUAGAGUUCGGUAGGGGAGACUGGAAUUCCUGGUGUAGCGGUGAAAUGCGCAGAUAUCAGGAGGAACACCGGUGGCGAAGGCGGGUCUCUGGGCCGAUACUGACGCUGAGACGCGAAAGCGUGGGGAGCGAACAGG
rnacentral:rRNA from 1 species